rnacentral:lncRNA from 1 species
GCAAGCUGUUCUGAGUACACAGCCCGGAGCCACCGCAGAGGACACCAGAGCUCCAGCUAUAAAGGAGCAGGGCUCUGGGGCAUCCCGCCUCUGAGAGCCAGGGGCAGCGGGAGUGCUGGGUCUGGGGCAGCUCCAGCCAGUGGCCCCAGGAAGUGCGAACCUGGCUUUCUAGUGCCGCCUCCGCCUUCUGUUUGGUUGUUGGGGAAAUUGAUCUUUCAGAUAUUUUAGCUGCAUGGGUGGAAAUCCGCACGUGCAGUGUUUUGCUAAGACCCAAAGCCUUCAGGGACUGUUUUGGGAGCAAGUCAGAGGCAGCCUCCACCCUCCCCAAGGGGCUUCAUCUCUGGGCCAGACCUGGGCUGGUGAGGUCUCCUGGACUCCUUGCAGUCACUCUGGGAAUUGAGAGCACCCCCAUUGUCAGGGUGAGUAAACUGAGACUCUGGCGAGUCUUGGUGGGCGUGUCUGGGACGAGUCAGUGGCAGGGGACACUUGUGAGACCCUGAUGGUACGCAGGCAGGGUGGUGGCUGCCACGUAGCUUCUGUGCUGGCCUUUCCUGGUUCUGUUUGAGAAUUAGCAGAACAACAUGCUCACUCAGGGGUCCCUGGUGACAAAUUACAAGCCUUGGCAUAGAGUGGGGGCCAGUCAGUGCUGCUGAUUGAAUCAAAGAACAAUGACCACAGGGGUCCCAAGGUCCAGAUGUGUCUUUCUAACAGUAGCCCAGAGGCGACUACUGCCUAAGGACAGCAAGGGCAGACUGGCAGCCCACAAGUGAGCGUGGGUUGCUGCCCCCCCACCCCCACAUUGCUGAGCACCUCUGCCCGCAGGCCUGUGCUGGGCUCUGGAUGCCUGUGGCCUCCGUCUCCCUCACAGCGGGCAUGCAGGGAGGGCAGAUUAUCAGUGUUUUCAACAAGAGGAACCUGAGACCCUGACAGGUCUUGCUGAAAUUUAUAUAGGGAGUGAAAAAUGAAGCCAUAUGUCUUCCCCCAAUCCCAAAAGCCAACAAGCCGACUGUAGGCUGAAAAAAUCCCAAGUGGAAAGAAAAUGAAUGUCACACACCUAACCUACCAGGCCCUGGAGCUCAGCAGCACAGAACGCGGUGGAGUGUGUGUGGUUUCCCUGUGACCAUGGGGUGGACGGGGGCUACAGCUGCCUGUCAUCUCUAUAGUAUCAUUCCCUAUACAAAUACCCUGGGGAAGCAGCCAGGUUCAAAAUUCAGAGUCCUGAUGCCACUGAAUGGGGCUGGCUUGCAAACCAUCUGGAAGUGGAAAAAUACUGUGAAACCAUUGUGAGUUGUAGACUGCUUGUGCCACAGGGAAGGGACAAGUGAUGGGACAGAAAGGACCAGAGGACAGGAAGGCAGAUUCGGGACCUUGUGGGUGGGGCGGAGUGUUUCUAGCCCGGAGGCCUGGAUCAAAGCUGGGUGCUGGAUCAGACAGGGGGCUGGCAGCUCCUGACGAUUUAUGAAAAGAGAAGGAAUCAUGGAUUUCUACUGGGAAAUACUGGGCUGAGAAGCGAGGUCAGGCUGGAAAUAAGUCAGGAUGAGUUGAGGGCUCGUGUGGCAGCCAAGCUGGGGAGUGUGGUUGGGUUGGUUGGAAGUUAGCAAGAUGGCAGGAUCCAUCCAGCUCAGGAAUGAGUGUGGGGGGAUCUGCUCUCUGUCUGUGAUGUCCUUCUCUUUCCACAGGGCUCAGUCCAAAGGUCUGGACGAAAGGCAGACAGCACACUGCUUGGACCCCUCUCUCCCUAGUUUCUCUGGCUGUCCCAGGCACCUGGGCUUCAGGCUUCUGCAAAGACAAAUCACACAAGUAGGCACUUGUGUUGUGACAUCUCCCACAACCUCAUACUGGCACCAGACACUCCCCCGUCUGAGGGUCUUUUGAGCAUGGGAAGAUCUUCAUUUACACUCAGGAUGAGCUAAGGGACACAUGGAGUUUUGCACCUGGGUAGAAAGAAAGCCAGUGGCAUAUUCAGGGCAGGAUAGUGGGAGGACCCACCUUGGAUGACAGUGAUAAGGGAAUUCAUUUUUAAAUUCAUAGAGAAUUAAAAAAAAACAACAAUAAAAUUUACAGGAAGUUGGCCAACUUUUUAUUAUCACCUUGCACCGGCAAUGGUAAAUCAGUUGUAAAACUUCUGUUGGUCUAAUUUCCAGGUCAUUGUUCCAGUAACUUCUGAGCUUUAAUAAUGUGAUAUGUCAAUAUGUAAUCUUCAUAUUAUUAUAAUUAUCAUUAUCUAAUGCUAAACAUUGCUUUCUAUGAGGAAGUCACAUUAGAGAACUCCCGGCUUUGGAGUUUGUUGUGGUUAAGAUAUGACCUGUUCCCCCAAAAGCUCAUGUGGCAAGGCAGGAAAGUUCAGAGGUGAAACUGUACAAGAGCCACAACCUAAUCAGUGGAGUAAUCCAUUUGCUGGAUUAAUAAUCUGAAUGGAUUACUUAGAGUACUGUAGGUGGGGUGUGGCUGGAGGAAACAGGUGAGGUCGCAUGUCCUUGGAUUAUGUCUUGUCCCGGCUUCUCUCCCCCUCUCUCUGCUUCCUGGCUGCCAUGAGCUGAGUAGCUUUCUUCACCAUGAUGUUGGGCCUCACCUCAGGCCCAGAGCAAUGGAGUCAGCCAGCCACGGACUGAGCCUCUGAAACUUGAGACAAAAUGAACUUUUCCUCCUCUGAGUUGUUUUUGCUGGGUAUUUUGGUCAGUGAUGAAAGGCUGACUCACUCUGAGGUGGUCUCAACAUAGGUAAACUCAGCCAUCUAAUGUUUCUGGGCGUUAAGUCCCCAGGCAAGGAGAGAGGGAGGCCUCAGGGGAACCCAGCGCAGCCCCUGCCUUGCUCCCCGGACUUCCAGCCUCCAGAACCGUGAGAAAAUAAUCACGUGGUGUUUGCUCCUCCCAGUCGUGGAUGUUUUGUUACGGCAGCCCGAGCUGACUGUUGCAAGGUUCCAGGAGCCAUUGGAGGCAGCUGCCAGCUCUGUCAGCUCUGAGCCUGUGGGCAGCUGGCAGGGCUGGGUCCCUGCUGGAAUAUCAGCUCCAGGAGCACACGCUGGGCCGUCUUUUACCUGAUGCCGCUCUACCGGCUCCUCGCGGGCUAUGGGGCUUCUUCAGCAGACCCUCGUCCCGCUUAGGGGCUGGGGAGGUCAGUGAGGGUGAGGAGAGAGAACAGGGCGAGGUCAGGGCAUGGGAGGAAACCUGAGGGCAUUGCAGGGGAGUGUUUAAGAGCCUGGACGGGCCAGAGCCCGGCUCUCACAGUGAAUCCCGGGCCUCCUGUGGGUGCCCAAGAGCCCUUCGGGGUCCCACAGGGGCCUCCCCUUUCCACCUGCAAAUCUGCGUGAGGCUGGGUUUUCUAAAGACAAUUUAACCAAAAUAAUGUUUUGCAGAUUGAGUCAAGAAACAGAGAAUAUGGAACCCGGCUGCCCUUCACCAAGCCAGACACCAGAGACUCUCAAAACCCAAGCAAGGCUGCUCCUCUCACCCAGUUUCUGUUUGGAAAACAUGGCUGGUCUGUAGGGAAUGCAUUAUUGAUGUGAUCAUGCCAUGGCUCAUUGCUAUUGAGUUAAUAAAUACCCUUCAAAUGUCU